GACGAACGCUGGCGGCGUGCCUAAUACAUGCAAGUUGAGCGCUGAAGGCUGGUACUUGUACCGACUGGAUGAGCAGCGAACGGGUGAGUAACGCGUGGGGAAUCUGCCUUUGAGCGGGGUACAACAAUUGGAAACGAAUGCUAAUACCGUAUAAGAUCUUUAAACACAAGUUUUAAGUUUGAAAGAUGCAAUUGCAUCACUCAAAGAUGAUUCUGCGUUGUAUUAGUUUGGUGGUGAGGUAAAGGCUCACUAAGGCGAUGCUACAUAGCCGACCUGAGAGGGUGGACGGCCGCAGUGAGACGGAGACCGGGCACAAAGUGACUCGGGAGGGAGCCGUAGGGCAUCUUCAGCAAGGGGUGGAAGUCUGACCAAGCUACGCCGCGUGAGGAAAGAAGGUUUUCGCGUCGUAAAUCUCUGUUGGUAGAGAAGAACGUUGGUGAGAGUGGAAAGCUCAUCAAGUGACGGUAACUACCCAGAAAGGGACGGCUAACUACGUG
rnacentral:rRNA from 1 species